rnacentral:lncRNA from 1 species
GGUGGGGGCUUCAGGUGAAGCCCAGGAAGUUCUUGGGGGCUCAGCUCUCCUCCCUGAAUGAGAAGCAGAGUCCCACAUAAGCUAGGAUGGGUUUCCCACUGUAUUCCAAGAGUCUAGGGCAGAGAGCUGUACCCAGGGAGCUGCUGGGCUUGGGGGAUCAGGUGCACAGCAGCCCUCUGCUGCCGAACAGGCACACUGGACGUGCUGCCUCAAACCGACACGGUCGUCUGACAUGAUUGAAUGUGAGCCCCAGAGACUGGAACACACAAGGCACCCGCUGCCUUGGCUCUCCUAGCAGGAACCCUCCUUCCAUAGCGCUCAACAGCAGAAGCUGCCCAGUAAGAUGUCAGCCGCCAUCUUUGCAGGAGACCAGAGAAAUCCAAGGGUCAGAAGCCCAAAGUAGGUACUGAGAAUCAGCCGGAGACCAGAGGUUUUUUUUUUGCAAGAAUUCUGAAAGUUUCAGACAAUGGAAUGAAUUAAGAAAUGACGACAAAUUCAGUAAGUAAAAAAUACUGCUUACAUAGCGGGUCACUGACUUUUCUAUCGCUAUAACACCAUGAAGAUCACAUUGAACAGGGUUUCUGGUUUCAGGGUCUGAUACCACAAUGGCAGAACAAAGGCAUGGCGACAGGAACAACUGAGAGCUCACAUCUUGAUCCACAAGAAGGAGGCAGAGACACUGAGAAUGGCACUGAUAUCUGGAACCUCAAAGCCAGUGACACACCUCCUCCAACAAGACCACACCUCCUAAUCCUUCCCAAACAGUUCCACCAACUGGGGACCAAGAAUUCAGCUAUGUGAGCCUGUGUCGGGUAUCAUCGAACCACCUUAAAUAGCCACCCUGCUAGAGUCACAGAAAGUCUAAGAAGAGGGUGAAUUGGAAUCUGAGCAUCUUGGCUGCAGGAUCUGAGUGUUGAUGACUUAGGAGACGAUGCCACUCCGGGGCCUGUUACCUCUUCGUGCAUUAGGAAGAGGAAGGUCAUUGCUAUUUGCAGGCCCUCGUUGAGCACCGGAUGAAGCUGAGG